rnacentral:lncRNA from 1 species
ACUUCAAUGUGUCUAGAAUCAAUCCACAAAAUUUCAAGUUCAUAUUAUAAACAUCAAGCAUUUCACAAAUCAUCUAAGUUCAUGACUAUCCAAAAGUCCAAACAUGACCAAUCAGCAAGUAAAAUCUCAAACGAAUUGGAAAUCCAUUCAAAAAUUCCACAAAAAUGCAUGAUCAAUCCUAACAUCCAGAAGUAGCAUCAUGAAAAAAUUCACAUUAAUUGGCAUUUAUUUGGCAGGGUAAAGAAAACCAGCAAAUUAAGCAAGCCAAGGUGUGAC